rnacentral:ncRNA from 2 species
UAACGUCACUAGGGGAGCUAUGUAGCUGAGAAUUAAUUUGACCCUUUGAACUUGAAUCUGGUUAGUACCAGCGAAAGGAAGUUGACUUGAAAAUCG